rnacentral:rRNA from 1 species
UAGUCCACGCUGUAAACGAUGAGUGUUAGGUGUCGGGAUCUUCGGAUUUCGGUGCCGCAGCUAACGCGUUAAACACUCCGCCUGGGGAGUAAGGUCGCAAGAUUAAAACUCAAAGGAAUUGACGGGGACCUGCACAAGUGGUGGAACAUGCGGUUUAAUUCGAUGCUACGCGAAAAACCUUACCAACUCUUGACAUGGUGGUCGCGAGAUGCAGAAAUGUAUCUUUUCAGUUCGGCUGGACCACACACAGGUGUUGCAUGGCCGUCGUCAGCUCGUGUUGUGAGAUGUUAGGUUAAGUCCUGCAACGAGCGCAACCCCUAUUCUUAUUUGCCAGCGGGUAAUGCCGGGAGCUAUAAGGAAACUGCCAGCGAUAAGCUGGAGGAGGUGGGGAUGAAGUCAGGUCAGCAU